rnacentral:rRNA from 1 species
AACGAACGCUGGCGGCAUGCCUAAUACAUGCAAGUCGAACGAGAAAGUCCUUUCGGGGACAAGUACAGUGGCGCACGGGUGAGUAACACGUAGGUGACCUACCUCAUUGAGUGGGAUAACAGGGAGAAGUUCCUGCUAAUACCGCAUACGCUAAACAAUUUUGGAAGUAGUUUAGGAAAGAUGGCCUCUUUACAAUGCUAUCGCAAUGAGAUGGGCCUGCGGGUCAUUAGCUUGAUGGUGGGGUAACGGCCUACCAUGGCUUUGAUGGCUAGCCGGUCUGAGAGGAUGAUCGGUCACACUGGAACUGAGACACGGUCCAG